GCGGUCCAGAGGAGGGGACGCGCGCAGAUGACGUGCGGCUCGUAGGGCAGCUCGGCAGCAUGGCGUCCGUGGCGCUGAGCGAGGCGGAGAAGGUGUACAUCGUGCACGGCGUCCAGGAAGACCUCCGUGUGGAUGGCCGUGGCUGUGAGGACUACCGAUGUGUCGAAGUGGAAACUGAUGUGGUGUCCAACACUAGUGGGUCCGCCAGGGUCAAGCUGGGUCACACAGACAUCUUGGUGGGAGUGAAAGCAGAAAUGGGGACGCCGAAGCUGGAGAAACCAAAUGAAGGCUACUUGGAGUUCUUUGUUGACUGUUCAGCCAGUGCUACCCCUGAAUUUGAAGGUAGAGGAGGUGAUGACCUUGGCACUGAGAUCGCUAACACCCUCUAUCGGAUAUUUAACAAUAAAAGCAGUGUCGACCUAAAGACCCUAUGUAUUAGUCCUCGGGAGCACUGCUGGGUUCUCUAUGUGGAUGUGCUGCUGCUGGAAUGUGGUGGAAAUUUGUUUGAUGCCAUUUCCAUUGCUGUAAAGGCUGCUCUCUUCAAUACAAGGAUACCAAGGGUUCGAGUUCUGGAGGAUGAAGAGGGGUCGAAGGACAUUGAAUUGUCUGAUGACCCUUAUGACUGCAUACGACUAAGUGUGGAGAAUGUCCCCUGCAUUGUCACUCUGUGCAAGAUUGGCUGUCGGCAUGUGGUGGAUGCUACUCUUCAGGAGGAGGCCUGCUCGCUGGCCAGCUUGCUGGUGUCGGUGACCAGCAAGGGAGUUGUGACGUGCAUGAGGAAAGUGGGGAAGGGCAGCCUGGACCCAGAGAGCAUCUUCGAGAUGAUGGAGACUGGCAAGCGUGUGGGCAAGGUGCUGCAUGCCUCCUUGCAGAGUGUUCUGCACAAGGAAGAAAGCCUGGGGCCCAAGAGACAGAAAGUUGGAUUCCUGGGAUGAUUUGCAGAUCAACUGCUCAACUGUGGAUUGUUUUUUACUUUUCCUUUUAAACCGGGGAACUGAAACUCCUAAAUCUUAAAACACCCUGGGGAAGGAGCUGAUUCACGAAGGAGAGCAUUUCAACCGUGGCAUUUGCUCUCUGCAUUCCAGUUAGACAAAUGGGGUAAGGCGUUAGGAAUUUAUCACCAAAUGGAAAGAACAUAAUGUGAGCGGAAGCCCUUGGGACUGCUUCCAGAGGUCCUGGUGUGGGCGUUCCUCCCAGCAAGGCCAGGUCCAUCCCUGUGGAGAGAAGCAGCUGCCUAGACUUGGGCUUAAUGGGGGAGCUUCUGCCCUGUUGAGAGCACAGCCUGGGUUUUCAUCUUUUAUGUUUCUUCAGUGACUAUCUACAGGCACCAUGACAGUGUUCCCAACAAGGCAGAAAUCAGCCUGGUCUCUCCUUCCCUGCUCCUGGUUGACUGCCUGUGACAUGACAAAACAUUGGCAGUGGUGGCGCAGAGAUGCAACUCGAGUGUGAAUAAAGUUUAGAAGCGUUUGCUUUUGAUGGUUGAUUCCAGUGGAUCAUUUUGAGAUGCAUAAAUUAGAAUGGGUACUGUCAUAUAUGUCAGACUCAGCUCUGCUUCACUUCCCUUCAGACAGACAGAUGAGGCUUUGCCAUGCCAGUGGUACAACAAGCAGCUACCCAGCUUGGAUGGCUGGCUAAGCGCUUCCAGUAAAAAUGGAAAAAGAAGAGAAAAAGUUGGUGGAAUCUGUUUCUAGCCACCCCAUACCUUUCCCUGAAGGCCACCCCUACAUGUAAUAUACGUAUAUUGCAAAUGAAACAAAACACCAUAUGAGCAGGGACUCUCCAGGAGAGGCAUUUAUUGGAAAGAUCUGAUUGUUGCAACUCUCAGAGUGAGAGAAGAGAAAACUGAAGACAGAGACUGGCAAAGACUUGGAAAAAUAUUAUCCUGGGACAGACCUGUUUCAUCCAGCAGAGCCACAGCUGUCUUUAGUGGUCUUUAAAUAAACAUUAGGUAGAAGAACAUUGAAGUUGGUCAAAGUAAGGGCGGAGUAUAAGAAAUGCAAUGUUAAAUAAUAUUCAAGUGGGUUUU